rnacentral:lncRNA from 1 species
UCUCCCUGGAGUCCCUCCUCUCACAAUCCUCUGGAGCUCUGAGAUCAAGUCUUCUGUCCUUGUUUGGGCAUCUGCAGACAUCUCCUGGGGCAGGGCUGUCUCACUCAUGGGAGGUCCCGGAAUCCAGCGCUGCCCAUGGGCAGGAGAACAGGAUGGAGUAUUUCCUGUUGGUCACUUUCAGUUGCAGCUCCCUGCCCACCAGCCUGAGCCUGGUAUCUGUGGACCAGCUCUUUCAGCAACACAAUGAACUUCGCUGCCAUCCAGCAGAGUACAAACCGCACCUUCUUCAAUGAGG